CCUACGGGAGGCAGCAGUAGGGAAUCUUCCACAAUGGGCGAAAGCCUGAUGGAGCAACGCCGCGUGGGUGAAGAAGGUCUUCGGAUCGUAAAACUCUGUUGUUAGAGAAGAAAGUGCGUGAGCGUAACUGUUCACGUUUCGACGGUAUCUAACCAGAAAGCCACGGCUAACUACGUGCCAGCAGCUGCGGUAAUACGUAGGUGGCAAGCGUUAUCCGGAUUUAUUGGGCGUAAAGGGAACGCAGGCGGUCUUUUAAGUCUGAUGUGAAAGCCUUCGGCUUAACCGGAGUAGUGCAUUGGAAACGGGGAGACUUGAGUGCAGAAGAGGAGAGUGGAACUCCAGGUGUAGCGGUGAAAUGCGUAGAUAGAUGGAAGAACACCAGUGGCGAAAGCGGCUCUCUGGUCUGUAACUGACGCUGAGGUUCGAAAGCGUGGGUAGCAAACAGGAUUAGAUACCCCAGUAGUC
rnacentral:rRNA from 1 species